GCUAAACGCGAAGAACCUUACCUGGCCUUGACAUCCGCGGAACUCGGCAGAAAUGCCUUGGUGCCUUCGGGAAUCGCGAGACAGGUGGUGCAUGGUUGUCGUCAGCUCGUGUCGUGAGAUGUUGGGUUAAGUCCCGCAACGAGCGCAACCCUUGUUCCUAGUUGCCAGCACGUUGGGUGGGCACUCUAGGGAGACUGCCGGUGACAAACCGGAGGAAGGUGGGGAUGACGUCAAAUCAUCAUGCCCCUUAUGACCUGGGCUACACACGUGCUACAAUGGCCGCGACAAAGGGCAGCGAAGGGGCGACCCGGAGCGAAUCCCGACAAAGGCGGUCUCAGUUCGGAUUGCAGGCUGCAACUCGCCUGCAUGAAGUCGGAAUUGCUAGUAAUCGCGGAUCAGCAUGCCGCGGUGAAUACGUUCCCGGGUCUUGUACACACCG
rnacentral:rRNA from 1 species